UCUCCAUUCCUAUUGGUCAAAAAUCAUGACCAAUAAGCUUUGAGGAGGCUGCCCGAGGCCAUAUUAGAGAUUAGGGUUAGUUUUUUGGGACCAAUUGAGCUUUGAAGGCUAGGUUCAGCAAUUUUAGGUUUUUGGCUAUGGUUUUGGUACAAAUCUUGUAUGAUUUGGAGUUUGUAUGAAGGAGAUAUAUGCGCUCAAAGUUAAGGUGUUGAUUUGAGAGCUACUGUCACUAUUUUUGACAUAACGCACGCAUAUAGAGGGCAAUUGAGGAUCGGCAAUUGCGACUAGAGAGAGCACUUUUGUUGCUAUAUUUUUUACAUACCGCUUACUGGAUUCCAAGUGAAAGUGAAGGAGUUAUUGAAUUUUGAAGUCAGCACA
rnacentral:lncRNA from 1 species